GCGCCCAUAGCUCAGCUGGAUAGAGCAACGGCCUUCUAAGCCGUGGGUCGCAGGUUCGAAUCCUGCUGGGCGUA
rnacentral:tRNA from 1 species